rnacentral:rRNA from 1 species
UACGUAGGUGGCAAGCGUUAUCCGGAAUUAUUGGGCGUAAAGAGUGAGCAGGCGGCAGAUUAAGUUUGAGGUUAAAGCGUGGGGCUCAACCCCAUAAAGCCUUGAAAACUGAUCAGCUAGAGUACGAGAGAUGUGAAGGGAACUCCAUGUGUAGCGGUGAAAUGCGUAGAUAUAUGGAAGAACACCAGUGGCGAAGGCGCUUCACAAGCUCGAAACUGACGCUCAGUCACGAAAGCGUGGGUAGCAAAUAGG